GCCUGGGUGGCUCAGUGGUUGAGCACCUGCCUGCAGCCCAGGGCGUGAUCCCAGAGUGGUGGGAUCCAGUCCCACCUUGGGCU
rnacentral:tRNA from 1 species